UACGUAGGGGGCAAGCGUUGUCCGGAAUCAUUGGGCGUAAAGCGCGCGUAGGCGGCCCGGUAAGUCCGUUGUGAAAGUCAAAGGCUCAACCUUUGAACGCCGAUGGAUACUGCCGGGCUAGAGUCCGGAAGAGGCGAGUGGAAUUCCUGGUGUAGCGGUGGAAUGCGCAGAUAUCGGGAGGAACACCAACGGCGAAGGCAGCUCGCUGGGACGUUACUGACGCUGAGACGCGAAAGCGUGGGGAGCAAACAGG
rnacentral:rRNA from 1 species